rnacentral:rRNA from 1 species
UACGAAGGGGACUAGCGUUGUUCGGAAUCACUGGGCGUAAAGCGCACGUAGGCGGAUUUGUAAGUCGGGGGUGAAAUCCCGGGGCUCAACCUCGGAACUGCCUUUGAUACUGCGAAUCUUGAGUCCGAUAGAGGUGGGUGGAAUUCCUAGUGUAGAGGUGAAAUUCGUAGAUAUUAGGAAGAACACCAGUGGCGAAGGCGGCCCACUGGAUCGGUACUGACGCUGAGGUGCGAAAGCGUGGGGAGCAAACAGG